rnacentral:rRNA from 1 species
AGCGAACGUUAGCGGCAGGCUUAACACAUGCAAGUCGAGCGAGAAAGGGACUUCGGUCCUGAGUAAAGCGGCGGACGGGUGAGUAACACGUGGGUAAUCUGCCCUCUGGCGGGGGACAACCAUCCGAAAGGAUGGCUAAUACCGCAUACGUCUUCAGGGUCGUGCGGACCUUGAAGGGAAAGCUGGGGAGUCGCAAGACCUGGCACCAGAGGAGGGGCCCGCGCCGCAUCAGCUAGNGGUGGGGUACGGCCUACCAAGGCAAGACGCGUAGCUGGUCUGAGAGGAUGAUCAGCCACACUGGGACUGAGACACGGCCCAGACUCCUACGGGAGGCAGCAGUGGGGAAUAUUGGACAAUGGGCGCAAGCCUGAUCCAGCCAUGCCGCGUGA